CAACGGAUAUCUCAGCUCUCGUAUCGAUGAAGAACGUAGCGAAAUGCGAUACUUGGUGUGAAUUGCAGAAUCCCGUGAACCGUCGAGUCUUUGAAUGCAAGUUGCGCCCUAAGCCAUUAGGCUGAGGGCACGUCUGCCUGGGUGUCACGCAUCGUCACCCCCAUCCAGCCAUGAGCCCUCGAGCCUCGGUUGGACCGCGGGCAGAAAUUAGCCUCCCGUGCGCUCAGAGCCGGCGGUUGGCCUAAAUUUGAGUCCUCGACGACAUCAUCGUCGCAACGAUUGGUGGUAAUGCUGUAAGCAACCUCGUUCGGAGUCGUGCGCGUUCAUCGAUCGAGACCCUUGAAUGCUUUUGGCAUCGCAAGGACGGUGCUCGCAUCGUGACCCCAGGUCAGACGGGAUUACCCGCUGAGUUUAAGCAUAUCAAUAAGCGGAGGAAAAGAAACUUACCAGGAUUCCCCUAGUAACGGCGAGCGAACUGGGAAAAGCCCAGCUUGAGAAUCGGUCGCCAUCGGCGUCCGAAUUGUAGUCUGGAGAAGCGUCCUCAGCGACGGACCGGGCCCAAGUCCCCUGGAAAGGGGCGCCGGAGAGGGUGAGAGCCCCGUCGUGCCCGAACCCUGUCGCACCAAGAGGCGCUGUCUACGAGUCGAGUUGUUUGGGAAUACAACCCUAAUCAGGUGGUAAAUUCUAUCCAAGGCUAAAUACGGGCGAGAGACCGGCGAACAAGUAUCACGAGGGAAAGAUGAAAAGGACUUUGAAAAGAGAGUCAAAGAGUGCUUGAAAUUG
rnacentral:ncRNA from 1 species